GAUGAAGAACGUAGCGAAAUGCGAUAAGUAAUGUGAAUUGCAGAAUUCAGUGAAUCAUCGAGUCUUUGAACGCACAUUGCGCCCCCUGGUAUUCCGGGGGGCAUGUCUGUCCGAGCGUCAUUGCUGCCCUCAAGCACGGCUUGUGUGUUGGGCCGCCGUCCCCGGUUUCCCCCGGGGACGGGCCCGAAAGGCAGCGGCGGCACCGCGUCCGAUCCUCGAGCGUAUGGGGCUUUGUCACCCGCUCUGUAGGCCCGGCCGGCGCCAGCCGACACCCAACUUUAUUUCUAAGGUUGACCUCGGAUCAGGUAGGGAUACCCGCUGAACUUAAGCAUAUCAAUAAGCGGAGGA
rnacentral:misc_RNA from 1 species